GAUGAACGCUGGCGGCGUGCCUAAUACAUGCAAGUCGAGCGAACGGACGAGAAGCUUGCUUCUCUGAUGUUAGCGGCGGACGGGUGAGUAACACGUGGAUAACCUACCUAUAAGACUGGGAUAACUUCGGGAAACCGUAGCUAAUACCGGAUAAUAUUUUGAACCGCAUGGUUCAAAAGUGAAAGACGGUCUUGCUGUCACUUAUAGAUGGAUCCGCGCUGCAUUAGCUAGUUGGUAAGGUAACGGCUUACCAAGGCAACGAUGCAUAGCCGACCUGAGAGGGUGGUGGGCCACACGGGAAGUGAGACACGGUCCAGACACCUGCGGGAGGCAGCAGUAGGGAAUCUUCCGCGAGGGGCGAAAGCCUGACGGAGCAACGCCGCGUGAGUGAUGAAGGUCUUCGGAUCGUAAAACUCUGUUAUUAGGGAAGAACAUAUGUGUAAGUAACUGUGCACAUCUUGACGGUACCUAAUCAGAAAGCCACGGCUAACUACGUG
rnacentral:rRNA from 1 species